rnacentral:tRNA from 2 species
GGGCGCUUAGCUCAGAGGAAGAGCGCCUCUCUGACGCAGAGGAGGUCGGAGGUUCAAGUCCUCCAGCGCCCACCA